CUAAGCAUAUCAAUAAGCGGAGGAAAAGAAACCAACAGGGAUUGCCUCAGUAACGGCGAGUGAAGCGGCAAAAGCUCAAAUUUGAAAUCCUUCGGGAGUUGUAAUUUGUAGGUUGGGAGACCCCGCGGCUAGUGGCACCAAGUCCCUUGGAACAGGGCGCCUUAGAGGGUGAGAGCCCCGUAGGUACCACAACACCGUCUUGUGUCUCCUCUCCAAAGAGUCGAGUUGUUUGGGAAUGCAGCUCAAAGUGGGUGGUAAAUUCCAUCUAAAGCUAAAUACCGGCGAGAGACCGAUAGCGAACAAGUACAGUGAUGGAAAGAUGAAAAGCACUUUGAAAAGAGAGUGAAACAGUACGUGAAAUUGUUGAAAGGGAAGGGCUUGCAAGCAGACACGGCCUUCGUGCCGGGCCAGCAUCGGUUGCUAGGGGUGGAUAAGGAACAAGGAAUGUAGCUCCUCGGAGUAUUAUAGCCUUGCGCGAUACACCCACUGGCGACCGAGGCCUGCGGUAUUCUUUACCUAGGAUGCUGGCGUAAUGGUUGCAAGCCGCCCGUCUUGAAACACGGACCAAGGAGUCUAACGUCUAUGCGAGUGUUUGGGUGGAUAAAACCCCAGCGCGGAAUGAAAGUAAGAGGUUGGAGCCCGCAUGGGCGCACAAUCGACCGACCCAGAAGUUUACGGACGGGUUUGAGUAGGAGCAUAGCUGUUGGGACCCGAAAGAUGGUGAACUAUACCUGGAUAGGGUGAAGCCAGAGGAAACUCUGGUGGAGGCUCGUAGCGGUUCUGACGUGCAAAUCGAUCGUCGAAUCUGGGUAUAGGGGCGAAAGACUAAUCGAACCAUCUAGUAGCUGGUUCCUGCCGAAGU
rnacentral:rRNA from 1 species